GUGGAUUAUUGGCGAACGGGGGAGUAACACGUGGGCAAUCUGCCCUUCACUCUGGGACAAGCCCUGGAAACGGGGUCUAAUACGGGAUAACACUCCUGCCUGCAUGGGUGGGGGUUAAAAGCUCCGGCGGUGAAGGAUGAGCCCGCGGCCUAUCAGCUUGUUGGUGAGGUAGUGGCUCACCAAGGCGACGACGGGUAGCCGGCCUGAGAGGGCGACCGGCCACACUGGGACUGAGACACGGCCCACACUCCUACGGGAGGCAGCAGUGGGGAAUAUUGCACAAUGGGCGAAAGCCUGAUGCAGCGACGCCGCGUGAGGGAUGACGGCCUUCGGGUUGUAAACCUCUUUCAGCAGGGAAGAAGCGAAAGUGACGGUACCUGCAGAAGAAGCGCCGGCUAACUACGUGCCAGCAGCCGCGGUAAUACGUAUGGCGCACGCGUUGUCCGGAAUUAUUGGGCGUAAAGAGCUCGUACGCGGCUUGUCACGUCGGUUGUGAAAGCCCGGGGCUUAACCCCGGGUCUGCAGUCCAUACGGGUAGGCUAUAGUGUGGUAUGGGAGAUCGGAAUUCCUGGUGUAGCGGUG
rnacentral:rRNA from 1 species